rnacentral:rRNA from 1 species
UAGGGAAUCUUCCACAAUGGGCGAAAGCCUGAUGGAGCAACGCCGCGUGUGUGAUGAAGGGUUUCGGCUCGUAAAACACUGUUGUAAGAGAAGAAUGACAUUGAGAGUAACUGUUCAAUGUGUGACGGUAUCUUACCAGAAAGGAACGGCUAAGUACGUGCCGG